GGCAGCUCUAAAACUUAAGUUAAUAUGUUGUAAGUCAUCAAUAAAUCAUUGGAAUAGAAAAAUUCUUGGGACGGUCAUGUUUUUGUUUUGUUAUAAUUUAUUAUAGUGUCGUUAUAACUUUUCUAUUAAAAUCCACAGAUUCAAUAUUUAUUUUAUUGAAUCUUAAAAAUUAUAUCUUUAGGAAGUGUAACAUAAAUAUAUUUGUUACAGAUGAAUUGCAACGUACACAUCAAUUUGUGGAACGUUUUAUGUGGUGGGAAAAUUUAAAGAUGGUGUUUGGUUUGGGAACGAGUCUAGCAGAUCAUUUUUUUGAGUUCGCUGUCUUUCUAAAUGGUUGUUAUAUGGUUAGAUGGUUAUAUGGUUUUUACAAUAACUAAUGUUAUUCAUGCUGUUUAUGUAUAGAAAAAGCGGAAUUGUCAUUUUACAUUUUGAA